rnacentral:misc_RNA from 1 species
AUAAUUUCUAAACUCGCAUAACUAUAGACCUUGCAAAUAAUAAAUGGAAAUUUCGAAAGUGAUAAAUUCAGCAUAAGAGUACUGAAGGCGAAACUGUCCAUCAAAACUAUUCAUUACAGUAGUAGACUAGCAGUAGCCCAGCUAAAGGGUGGUUAUCAGUUAUCACUAUAUUUGAAUAAUAUGAAAAGGUGCAAUUCUUCAGUAUACAAAACCUUGAAAAAAGAUUGUAUCCUCAAGCCAAGGAGUCUACUCUUUGACAGCACAGUAUAAUGAAGUCUCUGUGUAUCAUCAGGCAACCUUUUCCAGCAAUUUGCUUGGCCUGAAAUAGUUCAAAAAGUUUAAAACAAAUAUGAGAUCUAAGAGAGACUAGCUUAAUACAAUUUGGAUUCAGUACAGAUUUUUACUCAAGUGCCUAAGAUGAUGUGUCCGAUACAAACACCAAAUUGACAAAAAAGGAGUCGAAUCAAUUUGCACCGGCAACUUAACAUGCCAAAUAGGAAAAAAUUUGAAUCUCUAGUGACUCAAUCUAAGAACCAAUUGUUAGAGAUAUAAACUAUUCUUAGACUCUCACCUACAAGUUUUAGUUUUUAGGUUUGAAUGAUUUCUUGUCACCAAUCACAAUAUAACUCUGCGUUUUAGAUAGUAUGACUAGCUUCAUCUCAGGCUAUUUUUAUCUCAACACGCUUAAUCAGAUGAGAAAGAAAAAAACAAGGUUUCCAUCAAUGCAAAAUACCAAUUAUAGGGAUGACCUUACCCUGCUAAGGGUAUGGGAACUGUGUUGGAUAAGUCCAUCAUCAAGAUUCAGAAGCCUUCAUAGAUUAGACGAGUCCCAGCUAGCGUAAACAGCCCCAAUGAGUUUAUCAUGCAGUAAGGCCCCAGAGCAAGCAACUAUGCCCCGAUCAAGACCCUCUAAGUAUACCCCCCUUGAAAAAUCAAGGCGCCUUCCUCCAGCAUCAGUUACCACACCACCAGCCUCUUCUACAAUGACUACGCCAGCAGCAUGAUCCCAUAUCUUCUCUUUGUAACCACACGAUGCAAAUUUCAUAAAAAUCUCAGCAUCUCCUCUAGCAAUGGCUGCAUAUUUGACCAUGCUAUGGACACGUAAGGGUUGUUUUUUAACCCCCAAGCUGUUAGCAACCCCCGCUGUGAAGGAGUGAUUCGAAUUAGCUUUCUCCACAGGUUCACAGAAGGUUGCCAGCUCAGGAUCAUCAAUGGAAGAAACUCGUAUGAAUUGUGCAGAAUUUGGCCAUUCAAAUUUCUUAUUUCCUUGGAUUAAUGGCUGCAUCCAUGCCUCACCACUGCCCCUCUGUGCAUACAUCACACAUCCUUUUUCCAAUGUAUCAGAAGUAGGUAAAGACAAUUUAGGCAUGCUCUGAUGAUACUGAUGAUGAUGAUUCAGCAAUUCUUUCUUCAUAGGGUAAUUCGGACACCCAAGAACUCCAAUCACUACCUUUCCUUCUUCAAUCAAGGCUAAAGCUAUAGCAUACUGAUCUCCACGCACAAAUCCUAAUGUUCCAUCAACAGGAUCAAGUACCCAAUGCCUUCCAACAGGACCCCCUCUUGAAUUGCAUCGACCAAUGGCCUCAAGAAUUUGUUCACCUCCAAGGGCCUUCUUGGGACUCUCAAGACCAUAUUUUGAUGCUUCAGCUAAGAUUUGAUUCACGGUGUUUGUGACAGUCGUCAGUAAGCCUGCUGAAUCUGCUUUAGAGAGAGUUUGUACAUCUUCUUCAGCAAUGAUGGAUACAUUUUGAUCCCUAAAAGAUUCUGAAAGUACCCAGCUAACAGUUGCUUGAACACUCCAAUCUGCAACAGUAACCAGAGAAUCAUCCUCCUUAGACUUAACCUGGUCAGUACUCACGGUAAGCAGCCCCUCUUGCACCCUCUGACAAAGAGAACAAGCCAUAUGAACAACUCUAACUGCCACAUCCAAUUCUUUAGCGUACUUGUUCUCGUUUUCCAUGAUUUGAUCUCUUUAGAAACUUAUAAUAUACCCAAAUGCAGAGACCAAAUGUUUAGCAAUACCCACCUCAGGAUUUAUACCAAAAACAAGAAUCUAAGUCCCCGACGUGGUUCCGCGACUGGGAUUUCUUAGGUUUGACCGGUCCAUGUUUGCAUUUCUGAUGCAAAACGAGAUCUUGUUCAGUGACAUCAUGUGUGGUGGAGGAGUUGUUUCGUUUGUUUAUGUAGAGUGAAAAUCAGCAAAUGAUGUCAGAGUCAGACUUUGAAGGUUGAAGUCUGCUUUUU